GUAAACCUACGGGAGGCAGCAGUGAGGAAUAUUGGUCAAUGGGCGGGAGCCUGAACCAGCCAAGUCGCGUGAGGGAUGACGGCCCUAUGGGUUGUAAACCUCUUUUGCCGGGGAGCAAAGUGCCGCACGUGUGCGGUUUGAAGAGUACCCGGAGAAAAAGCAUCGUCUAACUCCGUGCCAGCAGCCGCGGUAAUACGGAGGAUCCGAGCGUUAUCCGGAUUUAUUGGGUUUAAAGGGAGCGUAGGUGGAUUGUUAAGUCAGUUGCGAAAGUUUGCGGCUCAACCGUAAAAUUGCAGUUGAAACUG
rnacentral:rRNA from 1 species